rnacentral:rRNA from 1 species
CGGCGGACGGGUGAGUAACACGUGGAUAACCUACCUAUAAGACUGGGAUAACUUCGGGAAACCGGAGCUAAUACCGGAUAAUAUUUUAAACCGCAUGGUUCAAAAGUGAAAGACGGUCUUGCUGUCACUUAUAGAUGGAUCCGCGCUGCAUUAGCUAGUUGGUAAGGUAACGGCUUACCAAGGCAACGAUGCAUAGCCGACCUUAGAGGGUGAUCGGCCACACUGGAACUGAGACACGGUCCAG